rnacentral:rRNA from 1 species
GACGAACGCUGGCGGCGUGCCUAAUACAUGCAAGUUGAGCGCUGAAGGUUGGUACUUGUACCAACUGGAUGAGCAGCGAACGGGUGAGUAACGCGUGGGGAAUCUGCCUUUGAGCGGGGGACAACAUUUGGAAACGAAUGCUAAUACCGCAUAAAAACUUUAAACACAAGUUUUAAGUUUGAAAGAUGCAAUUGCAUCACUCAAAGAUGAUCCCGCGUUGUAUUAGCUAGUUGGUGAGGUAAAGGCUCACCAAGGCGAUGAUACAUAGCCGACCUGAGAGGGUGAUCGGCCACAUUGGGACUGAGACACGGCCCAAACUCCUACGGGAGGCAGCAGUAGGGAAUCUUCGGCAAUGGACGAAAGUCUGACCGAGCAACGCCGCGUGAGUGAAGAAGGUUGUCGGAUCGUAAAACUCUGUUGGUAGAGAAGAACGUUGGUGAGAGUAGAAAGCUCAUCAAGUGACGGUAACUACCCAGAAAGGGACGGCUAACUACGUG